UGUAUUUCCAUAUGCAUUUUAGGGCCAGCUUAAUUCAUUUCUGCAAAAAAUGUAGCUGGUAUUUUGAUAGGGAUUUGCACUGAAUCUGUGGAUUAAUCUGGGAGGUACUGUCCUAACAAUAUGGCAGUUUCCCUAUCCAUGAACAUAGCAUUUCUUUACAUUUAUUCAGGUUUUUAAUUUUUUCAGUGAUGCUUUGUAGCUUGCAGUGGGUCCCUGUGGAAGAGGCUUUUCAUACCCAGCAAGCUUUGAUCAGGCAAAAUAAAGACAGCCUUGCAAGUGAGAUCUUUCAGGGAGUCACCAGACAAGUUAAAUAAUGACAAUUCCCUGGGAAUGAAGCUUUGAAGGAGCUCUAACCACCGUCUGUCCCCUCCAGUGGCUUCUAUGCUGCCUGAAAAUGUUUAAAUCUGGAAAGAAGAUCAGAUCUUUUAAAGCCUCAAAUAUUCCUCAAACUCAUAUAAAAAAAUCAUUUCGAAAUAGCCUUUCAAAAUCAGAGUGUAUUUCAUUUAUCAUCUGCAGUUUUGCAUUUAAAAUCCCUCACAAAGUUCUCUUAGUGUGCUGCAAAACUUAUAAACCUGGUUGUAACUUUCUGGAGGGUGUAUGCUAGGACCCUAGCAGGGCCUCCGCUGGAGUCUGACUUCGCUGCCAACUCUGGUGCGCUCCCCCCCACUCCGGCCCCCUCCCCGUGCCUGUUAUUCAAUAGUAUGAUGGCCUGAAGAGUUUGCAGAACUUAGGUUAAAAACAUGGAGAAUAAUUUCUGGGAGGAAACAGUUCCCUGGGUACAAAAAGGAAAGGCAAAGAAUAAAAGUAUCUUGAAGGUACAUGAGUUCAAAAGUUCAUUUCACUCUGUUAUCAACUUAAAGUUCUUCAAGCAACAGGAACUUGGCUUUCAAGACCUGGGGAGGCACAUCACACCGAAUAGUUUGCUUAUGAGACACACUCACGUGAAAAGAAAAACACGGAAGACAAAGGGUCCUUAAUUUGGGGUAGGAUAUAUUCCAACGUGGGGGGGGGGUAGGGUGAAGGCAUUUCAGCUCAGAAGCUCCAUCAUGACAUUUCCAGAGAGUUCGGCAGCUCCCCCCGCAGCAUGGCA